rnacentral:rRNA from 1 species
UACGGAGGAUGCAAGCGUUAUCCGGAAUGAUUGGGCGUAAAGCGUCCGCAGGUGGCUGUGUAAGUCUGCUGUUAAAUAGUGAGGCUCAACCUCAUAAAGGCAGUGGAAACUACACGGCUAGAGUGCGUUCGGGGCAGAGGGAAUUCCUGGUGUAGCGGUGAAAUGCGUAGAGAUCAGGAAGAACACCGGUGGCGAAAGCGUUCUGCUAGACCUGUACUGACACUGAGGGACGAAAGCUAGGGGAGCGAAUGGG